GUUGUAUUUUGUUAUGUCUGUUGAAAAGUGUGAGUAUUGGUACUUUGAGAUUUCCAAGCUAAAUAGUAUAUUGAAGAUACAAUCCUAACCAUGUUUCCAAGAUCAAUACUACAUAGAUGAGCAUUUUAAUUAAGUUAAAGUCAUUGUUAAACAUACAUUUAAGCUGCUAGUUACAAAAUUUGUUUUAUUUUUAAUGUGUGCAUAUGUCAACAAAAUAUUAUAUUUAUUGAAAAUCUAUUUUAUUUCUUUUUUAUAUACAUUUUGGCAAGAAAACAUCAAAUUUUGCAUGCUUAUCAAAAUGACACAAUUCAACACACAGUAUGUUGAUAUCAUUGUAAUCAGAGGAAAAAUGUAAAUAAUUCUCACUCAUUUUCAUUUUCGGUUACUGUGAAUGGUUUAUUAAUGUUUUAAGGAUGUAAGUUGAAUAAAAAAAAACAAAUUGAAGUCUAUACAAAUCAUUGUAGAGUUCAGAAUAUAUUAUUCUACACAUAAAUUAUAUCAAACAUCACAAGUUAUAUUUUAUUUGAAUCUAUUGCUUUUAAAAUGCAAUAAAGUAUUUUUAAUAUACUUUACAGGGGUGUGGAGCAGAAAUUUAAAAUAAUUAAUUGAUAUGUGAGUGGGGGGUAUAACAGUUGACAGACAGAUUUUUAAAAUUGGUGUUAAUUACAACCCAAACAUUGAUGAAAACUUCACUUUAUUCAGAAAAGACCAAUCAGUUCACAAUUACUUUUUUUUUUUAUAAAAAAGAUAAAUAUUCAAGGAAAACAUACUAAAAAAUA